CCUACGGGUGGCAGCAGUGGGGAAUAUUGGACAAUGGGCGAAAGCCUGAUCCAGCCAUGCCGCGUGUGUGAAGAAGGCCUUCGGGUUGUAAAGCACUUUCAGUGGGGAAGAAAGCCUUGGGGCUAAUACCCUCGAGGAAGGACAUCACCCACAGAAGAAGCACCGGCUAACUCCGUGCCAGCAGCCGCGGUAAUACGGAGGGUGCGAGCGUUAAUCGGAAUUACUGGGCGUAAAGCGCGCGUAGGCGGUCUGAUAAGCCGGUUGUGAAAGCCCCGGGCUCAACCUGGGAACGGCAUCCGGAACUGUCAGGCUAGAGUGCAGGAGAGGAAGGUAGAAUUCCCGGUGUAGCGGUGAAAUGCGUAGAGAUCGGGAGGAAUACCAGUGGCGAAGGCGGCCUUCUGGACUGACACUGACGCUGAGGUGCGAAAGCGUGGGUAGCAAACAGGAUUAGAUACCCUAGUAUC
rnacentral:rRNA from 1 species